UACGUAGGGCGCAAGCGUUGUCCGGAAUUAUUGGGCGUAAAGAGCUCGUAGGCGGUUUGUCGCGUUGUUCGUGAAAAUUUACCGCUCAACGGUGAACUUGCGGGCGAUACGGGCAGGCUAGAGUACUGCAGGGGAGACUGGAAUUCCUGGUGUAGCGGUGAAAUGCGCAGAUAUCAGGAGGAACACCGGUGGCGAAGGCGGGUCUCUGGGCAGUAACUGACGCUGAGGAGCGAAAGCGUGGGGAGCGAACAGG
rnacentral:rRNA from 1 species